GGAUAACCUGCCCAAGGGUCCGGGAUAACCCCGGGAAACUGGGGAUAAUACCGGAUGGAUCACUAGUGCUGGAAUGCUUGGUGGUCGAAAGGUAACGCCUUUGGAUGGGUCUGCGGCGGAUUAGGUUGACGCCGGUGUAACGUACCGGCGUGCCUGUAAUCCGUACGGGUUGUGGGAGCAAGAGCCCGGAGAUGGAUUCUGAGACACGAAUCCAGGCCCUACGGGGCGCAGCAGGCGCGAAAACUCUACAAUGCAGGCAACUGCGAUAGGGGGACAUCGAGUGGCAUCCACCUUGGGUGCCUGUCCAACCGUCUAAAAAACGGUUGUUAGCAAGGGCCGGGUAAGACCGGUGCCAGCCGCCGCGGUAAUACCGGCGGCUCGAGUGGUGGCCGAUAUUAUUGAGUCUAAAGGGUCCGUAGCCGGCUUUGCAAGUCCCCUGGGAAAUCCAGCGGCUUAACCGUUGGGCUUUCAUGGGAUACUACAUUGCUUGGGACUGGGAGAGGUAGGAGGUACUCGGGGGGUAGGGGUGAAAUCCUGUAAUCCUCCGGGGACCACCGGUGGCGAAGGCGUCCUACCAGAACAGGUCCGACGGUGAGGGACGAAAGCUAGGGGCACGAACCGGAUUAGAUACCCGGGUAGUCCUAGCCGUAAACGAUGCCCGCUAGGUGUCACGACAGUCGUGAAUUAUCGUGGUGCCGUAGGGAAGCCGCGAAGCGGGCCACUUGGGAAGUACGACCGCAAGGUUGAAACUUAA
rnacentral:rRNA from 1 species